rnacentral:rRNA from 1 species
AAAAACUCCGGUGGUAUGGGAUGGAUCCGCGUCUGAUUAGCUGGUUGGUGAGGUAACGGCCCACCAAGGCGACGAUCAGUAGCCGACCUGAGAGGGUGGCCGGCCACAUUGGGACUGAGACACGGCCCAAACUCCUACGGGAGGCAGCAGUGGGGAAUAUUGCACAAUGGGGGAAACCCUGAUGCAGCAACGCCGCGUGAGUGAAGAAGUAUUUCGGUAUGUAAAGCUCUAUCAGCAGGGAAGAAGAAAGACGGUACCUGACUAAGAAGCCCCGGCUAACUACGUGCCAGCAGCCGCGGUAAUACGCAGGGGGCAAGCGUUAUCCGGAUUUACUGGGUGUAAAGGGAGCGUAGACGGCUGUGCAAGUCUGAAGUGAAAGCCCGUGGCUCAACCGCGGAACUGCUUUGGAAACUGUAUAGCUUGAGUACUGGAGAGGCAGGCGGAAUUCCUAGUGUAGCGGUGAAAUGCGUAGAUAUUAGGAGGAACACCAGUGGCGAAGGCGGCCUGCUGGACAGAAACUGACGUUGAGGCUCGAAAGCGUGGGGAGCAAACAGGAUUAGAUACCCUGGUAGUCCACGCGGUAAACGAUGAAUGCUAGGUGUUGGGGAGCAAAGCUCUUCG